rnacentral:misc_RNA from 1 species
UUAAGUUCAGCGGGUAUCCUUGUCUGAUCUGAGGUCAAAAAUUCAGCCCCCCAAGCUAAGGGAGACAUUCGGGUUUAACGCCGCGAAGCAGUUCACCAGCAGGCUUUCUGGAAGAUUGUAACACCACUCCAUUGACCUGGCUAGAAGGGGCUUGCGGUCGUGCAGCAAGUUUAGGGAGGGCGCAGGUGGAAAUAAAUAAC